GACGAACGCUGGCGGCGCGCCUAACACAUGCAAGUCGAACGAGCGAGAGAGAGCUUGCUUUCUCGAGCGAGUGGCGAACGGGUGAGUAACGCGUGAGGAACCUGCCUCAAAGAGGGGGACAACAGUUGGAAACGACUGCUAAUACCGCAUAAGCCCACGGCCCGGCAUCGAGCAGGGGGAAAAGGAGCAAUCCGCUUUGAGAUGGCCUCGCGUCCGAUUAGCUAGUUGGUGGGGUAACGGCCCACCAAGGCGACGAUCGGUAGCCGGACUGAGAGGUUGAACGGCCACAUUGGGACUGAGACACGGCCCAGACUCCUACGGGAGGCAGCAGUGGGGAAUAUUGCACAAUGGGGGAAACCCUGAUGCAGCGACGCCGCGUGGAGGAAGAAGGUCUUCGGAUUGUAAACUCCUGUUGUUGGGGAAGAUAAUGACGGUACCCAACAAGGAAGUGACGGCUAACUACGUG
rnacentral:rRNA from 1 species